rnacentral:lncRNA from 1 species
GUUGGAACCUGGCUUUGCCACAGGCAUGCCUUCACAGAAGUCACUUAACUAAGUCUAGGUUCCUCAUCUGUGAACUGAGAAAACUAAAAGCACUGAUUCCAUGGGGUGCUGUGAGUAUUAAGUCCAUGGAAGGUUCUCAGGGGGUGCCUUCCCGGAGCAAAAUAUGCAUGUAACAAAUAUCAGCCAUCAUUAUUUCUACUAAAGCACUGAAAGAAACACAACUAAAAGACCUAAAACACAGCUUUAUAUUUUAUAGUGAUUUUGGGGGGGCAUGCCAUAGGAAAUGAUUUGAUAUCUGUAGAUUUUAAAGUCAAAAUGUUUCAUGGCUAAUUGAGAAAAAUCUUGGGCUCUUUAAGAUUAGUGUGAGGUUUAGAGAUAAUAAAUGUAAAGCAUGUGACAUAGUGCCUGACAGAUACUCAGUAAGUUGUAGGAGGUUCUAUUAUUACCAAUAUCAUCAUGAUUCAUACAUUUCUUUUCUCUCCACUUUGGCUUGACAUGUGGAUACAUGAGGCCAGUAGGAAGAAGUCACCCAUGACUAUCUGGAACAACAUUGUGGGGAAGGCCAAGUUUCUGGUGCGGUCUUACUAAGUUGCCCAGGCUGGUCUUGUACUCUUGGCCUCAAGCAAUCCUCCCACCUCAGCCUCCCAAAGCACUGGGAUUACACACAUGAGCUACUAGGCCCGGCCUCUUCUGUCUUUUUGUAGUGGUGACGUGUGGCAAAUGGAUUGUAAAUGAAGAUAGACUGUGUAAUGAAUGACGACACUAAAGACUAAUGUGAAGGACUUUAGGGAAAACAAAAGGCUUUCAUCUGAAAGGAUGAUCUGUGGACCAAGGUCACUCAUACCACUCACUGCUCAUUUUCUCAUGUUAUUUUAAAACUUUUUUCGGCCUUUAUACUGCUUUCAGCAGCAUUUGUGUGUAAGAAGUGGACGAUGACUUUAAUAAAGAGACCCGAAUGGAACUGAAUGGAGCAUUUGUUUUUGAAGCAACUUUUACUGUCCUCAGUUUUAUCUCAUAGAAGCCUCCCUCCAAGGGCACUGCCAUAGACUCAC